rnacentral:rRNA from 1 species
UACGUAGGGUGCGAGCGUUGUCCGGAAUUAUUGGGCGUAAAGGGCUCGUAGGCGGUUUGUCGCGUCGGGAGUGAAAACCAGGUGCUUAACACCUGGCUUGCUUUCGAUACGGGCAGACUAGAGGCAUGCAGGGGAGAACGGAAUUCCUGGUGUAGCGGUGGAAUGCGCAGAUAUCAGGAGGAACACCGGUGGCGAAGGCGGGUCUCUGGGCAGUAACUGACGCUGAGGAGCGAAAGCGUGGGGAGCGAACAGG